rnacentral:lncRNA from 1 species
AUCAAUUUGCUUCUGAACUUCCUCUUUGAUCUUCACUGUCAUAUCAGGAUGAGUUCUUCUGAGCUUCUGCUUUACAGGCAUGCACUCAGGCUUUAAAGGUAAGAAAUGUUGCACAUUGUCAGUAUCUAGACCAGGCAUGUCUUCAUAUGACCAAGCGAAGACAUCGACAUAUUCUCGUAGCAAUUCAAUCAACCCCUUCUUAAC